GCAAACCGUCCUUGCACGGAGAGGUCCAGAUGCACGGACUCCAGAGACCGAAAAUGAGCUGUUUCCCAGGGACUCUGAUUGUACUGUUCUUAGCACUUGGAGGAAGCAGUGGAGACUCAGUGACCCAGACAGAAGGCCAAGUGACACUCUUUGAAAGAACUUCCCUGACUGUGAACUGCUCGUAUACAACCACGCAGUACCCUGUCCUAUUCUGGUAUGUGCAGUACCCUGGAGAGGGGCCACAGCUCCUCCUGAAAGCCACAAAGGACAAGGAGAAGGGAAGCAACAAAGGCUUUGAAGCCACGUACGAUAAAGCCGCCAGCUCCUUCCACUUGGAGAAAGCCUCAGUGGACGCGUCAGACUCGGCUGUGUACUACUGUGUUGUGGGUGACACAGUGGCAGGAACUGCAGGGGGAGCCGAGCACAAACUCUGAGCAGCAAGGGGCCUGGCUGCUGGGUGUCCGCCUUGGGUUUUAUGGUUUGGGGCCAGGUGCUUGUCUAACACGGUUGCUGCCCGCCAGCCACCACCAGUGCUGUGAUAGCGUAAAAGUCACUCA